rnacentral:rRNA from 1 species
AGGAAUAUUGGUCAAUGGGCGGGAGCCUGAACCAGCCAAGUAGCGUGAAGGAUGACGGCCCUACGGGUUGUAAACUUCUUUUAUAAGGGAAUAAAGUUCGCCACGUGUGGUGUUUUGUAUGUACCUUAUGAAUAAGCAUCGGCUAAUUCCGUGCCAGCAGCCGCGGUAAUACGGAAGAUGCGAGCGUUAUCCGGAUUUAUUGGGUUUAAAGGGAGCGUAGGCGGGUUGUUAAGUCAGUUGCGAAAGUUUGCGGCUCAACCGUAAAAUUGCAGUUGAUACUGGCGACCUUGAGUGCAACAGAGGUAGGCGGAAUUCGUGGUGUAGCGGUGAAAUGCUUAGAUAUCACGAAGAACUCCGAUUGCGAAGGCAGCUUACUGGAUUGUAACUGACGCUGAUGCUCGAAAGUGUGGGUAUCAAACAGGAUUAGAUACCCUGGUAGUCCACACAGUAAACGAUGAAUACUCGCUGUUGGCGAUAUACUGUCAGCGGCCAAGCGAAAGCAUUAAGUAUUCCACCUGGGGAGUACGCCGGCAACGGUGAAACUCAAAGGAAUUGACGGGGGCCCGCACAAGCGGAGGAACAUGUGGUUUAAUUCGAUGAUACGCGAGGAACCUUACCCGGGCUUAAAUUGCAACUGACGGAAUCGGAAACGGUUCUUUCUUCGGACAGUUGUGAAGGUGCUGCAUGGUUGUCGUCAGCUCGUGCCGUGAGGUGUCGGCUUAAGUGCCAUAACGAGCGCAACCCUUACGGGUAGUUACCAUCAGGUUAUGCUGGGGACUCUACCCGGACUGCCGUCGUAAGAUGUGAGGAAGGUGGGGAUGACGUCAAAUCAGCACGGCCCUUACGUCCGGGGCUACACACGGGUUACAAUGGGGGGUACAGAAGGCAGCUACACGGGGACGGGGGGCUAAUCCCGAAAGCCUCUCUCAGUUCGGAUGGGAGUCGGCAACCGGACUCCAGGAAGCGGGAUUCGCUGGUAAUCGGGCAUCAGCCACGGCGCGGGGAAUAGGUUCCCG